UUGGGCGGGCACUGCUUCGGGUCGACGCCGCCGUCGCGGCUCCUCCACACCAUGGCCGACGUAUGCUCGGCGGCGGCCUCCGACGAAACCCUAGCUGGGAGUGUUCCCAGCCGAGGAAGACCGAAGACCAAGCCACGACGGGGGAAGGUACGGCCUCCAGCACCCUCAAUGCCUCAGCCCCCCAUCGUAAGUUAUGCUUUUCGAUUGCUCCUUCUCCUCCUCGAACCUCUAUAUAUGUAAGCAGUGGAAUGUGCAUGAUUUUUUUUAUAACGAAAAUGGUCCAGAUAUGAUAUUUCGAAUGUGCAUGAUUUUUUUUAUAACAAAAAUGGUCCAGAUCUGAUAUUUCUUGGUUGCUUAUUUGUGAUCUCUCCUUGCUGAUAGAAUGGUACUAACGAGAAUGGUCCAUAUCACUAAAUAUGCUUGUUCAUAUGUGCUUUCUAAAGUUUGUUGGUUCAUAUUUCUUAGCAUUUAAAAGUUACCCGGUUGCAAGCAUUUUGAAAGGCCCAUGAACUACUCUUCGUGGGAUAUGCUACUACAUUAAGUGCAGGGCAUUUCUACAGAAUGUUCAGUAGCAAUUGGUGGUGGAAUGAAGAAUCUAAUCUGGCCGUUGGUACAUGAUCCAAUAAUAGGAGAAGUUUUCAGAUUUUUACAACUUGGUCAUGCUUUCACCUGAUAUGUCCCCGGCUAAAGGCCUACAUGGCAUGUUACAGAUAAACAACAAAAUAAAUGUAUAUGAAGAUAGAAAUUCAUCCCUGACCAAGAAGAUUAUUCAAUGCAUAGAAGUGUUAAGCAUCAAUGAUUCUAUUCCUGCAUUAUGUUUAUCCUUCUUUGUCGUGUGUUUACUGUGUUAGAUUGUUAUGUACUUCGGCUCUCUGCUAUGUAAAAUAAAUGCUAUCAAAAGAGACAUGGUGUGGUCUCGCUGCUACAAUCUCCAAAUUCCGUUGUUUCAAUUGUAUAUGAUCUUACACUUGUUAUUUCGGAGAUACACUAUGGAAUCAUAUCAUGUGCUUGCAGAGAGCAAUACUGUUGUGUUUCUUCUCAAAAGAUUGUUGGACUCCAUUCAGGUCUACAUGCCUGUAUGAUCUUGUUUUCAUUUAAUACCUAUAUCUCUUUCAUUCAAUUCUUAUGUUGCCUUUCAACUCCAAGAUCUGCCUGAUACAGAACUGAUCCAAUAUUUAUUCUGUUACCGUAUACUUAGCCUCUGAACAGAAUUUCAACAAUAGUGGUGCUAGGAGAGAGCCAGUAUUUUUCCAUUUACUCAUCCAGUGGAGGUCUCGCAACAGGAGUAGUAUUAAGGGUUUGGUCGUCAAAGCAGAUUCACCGGCUAGGGAGAGGAGCAGCGGACUGAGGAAGAGGUGUAGACGCAGCUACAAGAAAGAUGUUUCCAGGCUCACCUGUGUGGGCUACCCCUGCUAAAAAAUCUUGGAGCUAAGUUAUGCCUUCUAUCACUUAUUUACUUACUCUUGGAUUUUCUUUCUUUACAUUAGAUCAUUUUUUGGUGUAUUUUUCACUGUGUAUGCUUGUUUCUGCGGGUACAAGAAGUGAGGAUAGGAAGUGGCUUGUUCGGUUGGGUAUGUCUAUACUAAAGGAGUUGUAAGUGACCCUGCAAUAUGUAAUUUUGGCCAUGUCAAGAUUGUCUCAACUAAUGACUGAACUUUAUCUUGUCAUUUUGCCGCUUGGAUUUUCCAUUAAGCUUGGUGAAGUAUAUUAUGUUAGUGGACGAACAAAAUACCAUGGAUGUCUUUGCUAUUUUGGAGGCAAUUCUUUUUGUGGGUUCACCUCUUGUGAUUAUCUAUAUGAGACAUGCGUAGUAAGUUUUUUCACACAGUACAGAGCUGCUAAUUCAGAACAUCAGGAAGCUUAUGAUUUCCAAUUCUGAGUUAUGAGCUCUCUCACUUUGAAUAGGUAUUUUGGUAGAUUCAAUUGUUACAGAAAAAAGGAUAUUUUGGCAGUAUUUCUUCAGCUCCAUUGAAUAGGUAUGGUUAUUUUAAAAUUUCGCAGUGACAACCAUUUGUGUCCUUUUUAUGGUUAAGAGUAACCUAUUUGUUCACUUUCUUGACAGAGUGAGCAAUUUGAAUUUUUUUCUCGUCAUGUGCUUGAUGAAUUGCUUAUAAAUGCAUAAAAGAAAAUAUUAACAGAUCCCAGAUCACCUUAAGUACUCAGUAUGCUUAGACUAUACGGCUACUCUUAAUAACUACUGUUAAGUAGAAGUCCUACAUGUGAUCCUCCUGUUAUAGAAAGGGUGGUUACUACAUCUGUAGCUUUGUGCUUAAUCUGUGGUUUUGCAUCUUUUUUCGCCCCCUUCUUAAAUUUCAUAGUGAUAAUAUUGAUUGCUCAUGUUAUGUCUAGCAGCAAGGCGUCGGUGUAGGCCUGCAACGGUGGUGACAGAAGGCAGGCUGUGAUUGAUCUUGAGAUUGCCUUGACCCCUGUGUCGUAGCGGCUGCUGAUUAGAAGAUCUCUAUCUUGAGAAUUCAAGGACCCCUGGGUUGAGGAGGACUCGGCCAGGGAAUGCAUUCGUUGCUGGAAGCUACUAUUUAACAGGGACACAAGUAACAACAGGAUUCCACAUUUGAAUAAGGAUUGGAACGUGAAUGUCGAUGCGAGCUCAAUACACUAUGAUCUGACCAUCCAACCGUGUUUGACCCUUCCAGGUUCAAUCUGCAGAACAUGCGCGAGAAAAAUAAUCCAGGAAAAAGAAGUGCUUAACAUUGUUCUAACAGCAACUCAGCCAAUUUUACAAUACCUGGCUGGCCCAUCAGAUCCCAAGCAAUUCCCCUUCAUUUUAGCCGGGAACAAGGUUCAUGUAGACACUGGAAGCAGGCGAGUGGAAAAAAUGAAAGAGAAAAGAGAAUAGGCAAUUAUGACAGAAGCACGGACAUCUUGAAUCAAUGCAUAAGGCAGGUUGUAUCACUUUUCUUGAUCUGGUUGAUGGUUAGUAUUCUCUUGUUAGAAGUCGCAUCUUUGAUGUCGGGGCCUGGGAUUUUUUUUUAGUAUGCUAAUGGUCAGCCUGGAAGUCCGUGACAUGUUUUCAACGACUGUGGUAGACCAGUUAUUAAGUUGCAUACUUUCUUCCUUGGUUUCUAUUUUAGUUCUCAGAUGUCCUCAAUAUUGCUUUGCUUCGCCAUAUCGGCUCACACUCUUGAUGCUCGAAAGCUAUUAUUUCAAAACUAUGCUCUAUCUUCAAAAGUUCAGAUGUUUGUUUAUGCUUUCUGUUUCUUCUGUUUUGGCAGGAAGCUAUUUUAAUCGUUUCUUUUGCAACAACAACUUAAAAACUUUGUUCUUUAUAAAAUUGACCAGGAUUUGUAAACCAAUACAUUAUUAACAGUAGUUGGUGAGACCUGAAAUGUAGUAUACCUAAUUCCGCUCUGAAGAUAAAUAUUUUAAGUCACUUAUUGCACUCUCUUACCUGUUUCCAACAAAUUGCGAAGAUGGUGAACUCAUUAGUAUAUUUUACUUUAGUGAAUAAAUUCAUAAUUGUUUCCCAUCUUUGGAUUUUUCCUUCAAAAAUUCAGAUAGUUUGGUUAUGCUUAUCUUGGUCAGACAAAUAUUAGUCCUCUUUUUUCCGGAAUACAAAUAAAAAACAUUCAUGAAGGGAGCAAGCUUUACAAAACAACAGUGUUACUGUUAGUUCAUGGGCCAUGUAGCAGAGCACAGCUUACCCAUUUCAAAUGUAGGUAUUUUGAAAGCAUCUACGGGUUUGGAAAAAUAGCAGGGCUUGUGAACUCGCUAUUAUCAGUUCAGGCUGCUGGCUCAAGAUUCAGAAUUGUUUCUCUUUUAUGUGCUUUGCCUUCAAAAGUGUGGAUACCUUAUUAUGUUUUCAGUUCCUUCUUUGGUUUUUACAGUUCAUUUUGAAGCUAAAAUGUUUGUUGCUUUCGUUUCCAAAAUAAAAUACAGUGAUUAUGACAGAAGCGGAGGCUUUCACAAAUUGUUUAAAAAAUAGUAUUUCAAGAUUGUGUUAUCGCGUGCAUGUGUUCCCGCAUGAAAGUAACUGUUCAGUUCCAGUACUUUAGCUGCCUACCUGGGUACGCUGCUGAAACUGAUGAAUAAAAUACUGCCUCAUUAUUGCAAAAGUUUCGAAUCGGUAGACCAUACUUCUAAGUGUACCAUUUCCAUCAAUACUAUAUAGUGGUUACAUUUUAUUCAUAGAGCUUGCAGUGUGUCUUAUACAGGCUACUAAUUUUACAUCCUUUUGCAUUGUACUAUACUGCUGCGUGAAACAACCGGCCAAGGUUCCCUUGUUCCUAUGACUAUUUCUGGAGUCAAGUCUAUGGAUAUCACCGUUGCGGGACACACCGUUGCUAUAGCAGAUACAUGGAGAAUGCAGCUAAUUUGGUGGUCAAGGAUUUGAACUACCGCUGGUUAAUGCAAAUACAAGAAGAGAACGGACAUAUCGGGAGUCAGCUCACAUAUAUCGCUGUUCGGGAACACACCGCUGAUGUAGCAGUUAUUAUCGUGUAUGCAGCACCAUUGUUUUGUGAAACCAAAAUGGAUCCAGAGCAAGGAGAAAUUGUGUUGUCACAUUGAUGAAAUGCUAUAGCACAGGUGGUGAUCUGGAAGCACAUGAUUAGCAAAUUUGCGAAAUUAUCUUGGAUCUUCAACCAUUCCAUACUGUCUUAUGCAGUGUUGUUGGCUUCAGGUGUUAUUGGACAUAGUUAAAUUUUUGUAGAAUGUACACAUGAAUUCCACCAGCUAUGUUCUGUAAUAUAACUAUUUCAAUAUUAGACUUAGAUGAAACAAUACUUGUUUCAUGUUGGAAUAUAUAUUAUGUGUAAUGUACGGAUGAAUUCUGCCAGCUAUGUUUUCUAAUAUAGUUGUGAUAAUAUUAGACUUA